CAAUUUAUAGCUCAAAGGAUAGAGCCCGCCGGUGAUAUUGGUUAGAUAUAGGUUCGAAUCCUGUUAAAUUGA
rnacentral:tRNA from 1 species